ensembl:lncRNA
GGACCUCCCCGCGGCUGCGCGAGAGUGCGGGUCCGGAGGCAGAGGCCGAGGCGUCCUGACGCGGCUGGGGUUGUGCUUUCUCCCUCGGGCCUUCUCAGACCAUGCCCAUUUUGACGUUUGUGUAAUCCAGUCGGAAAAGAAGCCAUUCACAAGCCCAAGUCUUUUCCUCCAUGAAGCAAAGAAGCAAGUGAUUGUUCCUUUGUCUUAACAGGAUACUUGCUAUACUGAAUAAGACUCUUUGAACCUAGAAAAACAACUUAUUUGUACUCUACAAAGGAGAAUUCAGCCUGUGAGUGGGCAUGAGAGUGUAUUUAUGGUACUCAAACAUCUGAAAGAAACAUGAACCAAUUUGAUCGACCAGAUGUUUUGUCUACACAAUGGUGAAGAAGCAUUCAGUUCAAGGCUCAGAGGGAGGAAACAAAGAAACAGAAGACAAGAAAGUAAAUAAAAGCAAAGAUGAGGACUUUUGCUGGCCCCUGUGGGUUCACAGUCCUGUGGGUACACAAGCAGAGGGUAUGAAGAAAAAGGCACUGCUUCCUGAUGACAGCAACCCUAUUCCAAGUUGCGUGACUUGGCAUCAGAGGGUGGGCUACUACCAUUCUUCCCUCAGCGCAAGGCUUUUGCACAGUGCGCUAACCAUACAACUGUACAUGGUAUCCCUGGAAAGUCAUCAAAAGGAGUAGGAGAAAUGCUUAUAAGAAGGUAGAAAUAGGUAUGAAGAAAGGGAGGCAGAGUUCGACUUUGCUGACAGAUUUCCCCAA